UGUGUGUGUUAGUGGAAGCGUCUGGAAAGGCGCGCGAUACAGGGUGACAGCCCCGUACACAAAAAUGCACAUGCUGUGAGCUCGAUGAGUAGGGCGGGACACGUGGUAUCCUGUCUGAAUAUGGGGGGACCAUCCUCCAAGGCUAAAUACUCCUGACUGACCGAUAGUGAACCAGUACCGUGAGGGAAAGGCGAAAAGAACCCCGGCGAGGGGAGUGAAAAAGAACCUGAAACCGUGUACGUACAAGCAGUGGGAGCACGCUUAGGCGUGUGACUGCGUACCUUUUGUAUAAUGGGUCAGCGACUUAUAUUCUGUAGCAAGGUUAACCGAAUAGGGGAGCCGAAGGGAAACCGAGUCUUAACUGGGCGUUAAGUUGCAGGGUAUAGACCCGAAACCCGGUGAUCUAGCCAUGGGCAGGUUGAAGGUUGGGUAACACUAACUGGAGGACCGAACCGACUAAUGUUGAAAAAUUAGCGGAUGACUUGUGGCUGGGGGUGAAAGGCCAAUCAAACCGGGAGAUAGCUGGUUCUCCCCGAAAGCUAUUUAGGUAGCGCCUCGUGAAUUCAUCUCCGGGGGUAGAGCACUGUUUCGGCAAGGGGGUCAUCCCGACUUACCAACCCGAUGCAAACUGCGAAUACCGGAGAAUGUUAUCACGGGAGACACACGGCGGGUGCUAACGUCCGUCGUGAAGAGGGAAACAACCCAGACCGCCAGCUAAGGUCCCAAAGUCAUGGUUAAGUGGGAAACGAUGUGGGAAGGCCCAGACAGCCAGGAUGUUGGCUUAGAAGCAGCCAUCAUUUAAAGAAAGCGUAAUAGCUCACUGGUCGAGUCGGCCUGCGCGGAAGAUGUAACGGGGCUAAACCAUGCACCGAAGCUGCGGCAGCGACGCUUAUGCGUUGUUGGGUAGGGGAGCGUUCUGUAAGCCUGUGAAGGUGUGCUGUGAGGCAUGCUGGAGGUAUCAGAAGUGCGAAUGCUGACAUAAGUAACGAUAAAGCGGGUGAAAAGCCCGCUCGCCGGAAGACCAA
rnacentral:rRNA from 1 species